AGAUACCCUGGUAGUCCACCCCGUAAACGUUGGGAACUAGUUGUGGGGUCCAUUCCACGGAUUCCGUGACGCAGCUAACGCAUUAAGUUCCCCGCCUGGGGAGUACGGCCGCAAGGCUAAAACUCAAAGGAAUUGACGGGGACCCGCACAAGCGGCGGAGCAUGCGGAUUAAUUCGAUGCAACGCGAAGAACCUUACCAAGGCUUGACAUAUAGAGGAAACGUCUGGAAACAGUCGCCCCGCAAGGUCUCUAUACAGGUGGUGCAUGGUUGUCGUCAGCUCGUGUCGUGAGAUGUUGGGUUAAGUCCCGCAACGAGCGCAACCCUCGUUCUAUGUUGCCAGCACGUAAUGGUGGGAACUCAUGGGAUACUGCCGGGGUCAACUCGGAGGAAGGUGGGGAUGACGUCAAAUCAUCAUGCCCCUUAUGUCUUGGGCUUCACGCAUGCUACAAUGGCCGGUACAAAGGGCUGCAAUACCGUGAGGUGGAGCGAAUCCCAAAAAGCCGGUCCCAGUUCGGAUUGAGGUCUGCAACUCGACCUCAUGAAGUCGGAGUCGCUAGUAAUCGCAGAUCAGCAACGCUGCGGUGAAUACGUUCCCGGGUCUUGUACACACCGCCCGUCAAGUCAUGAAAGUCGGUAACACCUGAAGCCGGUGGCCCAACCCUUGUGGAGGGAGCCGUCGAAGGUGGGAUCGGUAAUUAGGACUAAGU
rnacentral:rRNA from 1 species